rnacentral:lncRNA from 1 species
UGAAAUGACGCAGUUGCCCCGAGCUAGAAGAACUCGUUCAAGUUUGCAGGGAGAAUGGAGCACUUGGAGCAAGAUUGACCGGAGCUGGAUGGGGCGGUUGCGCCGUGGCCUUGGUUAAGGAGCCUGCAGUUUUGCAGUUCAUAGCUGCGGUCAAGGUAGUAAAAUACUUGUUAUGGUUAAUGGUUUUUGGACUCUGUAAUGCUUUUAUUAAUUUUGAGUGGGCCACUGAUAUCAAAGAAAUGGAAUUGUGGUGUUUCAGGACAAAUACUACAGAAAGAGGGUAGAGAAAGGAGUUGUAAAGGAAGAAGAUAUGGAGCUUUACCUUUUUGCCUCCAAGCCGUCAAGUGGUGCUGCCAUCUUCAACUUCUAAACAUGCCUCCUCUUCUCUUCGUCUUUUUUUUUUUUUUUUUUUUUCUGUUUUAUUUAUUCAAU